GACGAUAGAUAAGAAUGCUGGUACUUAAGUGCUUCCUGUUUGUCAAGCACCGUCCUGAGCGCUGGGGCGGAUACGAGAUAACGAGGUCGGACGCGGACCCCGUCCCACGGUCUAAACGGGCGGGAGUAGGGUUGAAUCCCCAUCUCACGGAUGAGGAGACCGAGACCCAGAGCAGUUAAGUAACUUGCCCGAGGUCACACGGCAGACCCGUGGCGGUCAAGAGUAGGAUCCAGGUCCUGCGACUCCCAGGCCCGGGCAGUUUCUGCCAGGCUUCGCCGUUUUCCUAACGGGAGAGAGAGAGAGAGAGAGGCUCAGCCCGGGCUCUGCCCGCCCGAUCAGGUGGCCAGAUGGUGUACGGGGGGAGCCUGCCCGCCCGGGCUGAGGAAAGGCAGGACGUCGCUAGUCUGAUGGCGGUCCUGGGGCUUCGCGUGUGGGUGCGUGUGCGCCUGCCCCCCGGCCGUCCAGCAGGUGCGGCCGGCGAGCGGGAGGCCGGUCUCCCCCGCGCUCCCCUCCCUCCUCCCUCCCCCGGAGUGCUCGAAUUAAGUGCCGCCUCACAGUCCGAGUUUCCCAUCUUUCCCUCUCACCUUCUUCCUUCCGGAGCUCACGGGGAGCCGGCCGGGGUCAGCGGACGGCCCGUCCGCGUCGCCGCAGCCUCCGGCCGUCGCGGUCUGCGCCGUCCCAAGCGGGACGGAGCCGUGUCCGGCCGUCCGGCCAGACCGGGUCUCCGGUCCGGGAGCACCGACCGUCGGAGGCCGCCGGCCGCCCUUUCCGGAGCGGGGUAGGUCCGCGGGCGCGACCUAACCGGGCAGGGAGGCCGGGCCACCGGGUACACGUCCCCCGGCGCGGGGCAAGCACAUUUCCGGCCGCUCCGGCCGGGUCCCGGUGGGGGGGGCGGUAGCCGAAGGGUCUACGUCUGGGUGGCGCUGGCUCCCUUCCGCCACCGCGCGCCCCCAGCCCAGUCUGGGCAGAGGCGAUCCCGUCGCGGGUGCCGCCCGGGGUUCACGGAGGCCCCUCUCUCGGAGGGAUCCUUUCCGCGGGAGGAGCUGGCGGGCCGCCGCGUACCGGUGAGCUCUCGCCCUGAAACGGAGGGCUCCUUCUCUCUUCUCCGCCCCGCCUCCGGACCUGCCGGUGGUUUUGUAGCCAGCGUGCGUGUGGAACACCUCCCUCCUCCUCCUUCCCCCCGCCCUCCCUUACCAGGCGGUUACGGUGGGCUCCGCAGCCCUCGUCGGGUGAGUCCGGUCCCGAACCCACCCACCCUCCCCAAAGAUGACCCAAACGGCCCCGGCCACAAAUAGACCAGCUUUAAUAGAUAUUAAUUUGAUGUCGGUCGAGCACCGUCGUCCCCGGAGCGCCCGCCCCACGCUUUACAGACGUUCUCGGACGGAUCCCCACAACAACCCCGCGAGGCAGGUCGACGCCGAGGGCGGCGGGAGGAGCCGGGACGGCCGCCGGCAGGGACGGGGCGACCUUCGCCCCACGCGUCCGGGGGCAUCGGUGGCAAGGAGCCGACCGCCUCCAGGCAGAGGAGGCUGUAAAGACCCAAUCUACCUGCCACGCCAUCCCGGUCCUCAGCGCGAGGCCGGCGGGGGACGUCCGGCGACGGAAUCGCGCGCCCCGCUUCGCAGCGGAUGCGCGUCUGGUUCCGCCGCGCCCGCGCGGCGGUAGGUACGCUGCGGUCGGCCCCGACCGGCUCCUAACGCUUUCGUGCUCACUGUCUCCUUUCCUCACCCCGAGCCCUCCGGCGUGGGCGCGCGUGGGCCGGAGUCCUGGUUCUGGCCUCGACUCCGGGAUCUUCCAUUUAGUUUCAGCUGCGCUUAGAAGUAAAAGAGCAGAUUGAGAAACCGUUACCCAAACUCCCCCACGGUCAGUGUUUUAGAAAAUGAGGAUGGGGUGGGGGGGGGAGAAACCCUGUCAUGUGAUUCUGAGCUCCUUCUGGAUGGAAAACCUGCAGUCUAACGGGCGUGCACUUUUCCUGGGCAAGGGCGGAGCCGGGUGAGUCUCCGGGCGAAGACUCGGACCCCUAGGCCCAGGCCGGCGGACGGAGGGUCGCGGGGGGCAUCUCGACCCUGCCCGCGCACCGCCCUCCCCGUCCGUAAAAACGCGGCCCGGCUUUCUCUCGGCACCUCCGGUUGAACGGCCCGGUUUCGCGAGCCACCCUGUCGGACUGAACCAGUGGGCGAAGUCACACUUCCUGAGCUAAAAGGUACAGAUAAGUAAGUGUUCAUCGUAGCAGCAGACGUAAGACGUUCUCUUACCCCGUAUCGAACGUUUCGCGAAACGGUCCUCGAAACUUCCCGUCGGGUCAAAACAGAUCACGCCCGGAGAGGGGACUCCCCUUCCCGCCCCGGCCGCCAGCCGAAGUACGGGGCCGGCCUUUGCCGCGCGCGCCGCCGUCGUUCUGAUCGUGGGAGGAGGUAUCCGUCCGGCGCAGCCGCCCGCCCCUAGCGGCUCCGGCACAGGUUUAGAAACUUGUUGCAGUUCCAGUUGAGACGAGUUUCGAUCGGGCCUGAGUGUUGAAACGAGGACACGUCCCGCGGGAGACGGCCCCACGCCGCCAGAGACGGAGGUGCACACCGUGCGCACAGAAAGAAUGCUACCUUGUCUCUCCAUGGCAUUUCUGACUGAAAGGCAGGUGUCUUGCUGAUAGCAAACAGAAUUCAAAUUUAUCCCUCAAAAUAGGAAAUUAAAUAAAGGAUAUAGAAUCA